GUGCGUAAUGAGUAGCAAACAAACGGCGAACCGUGAACCAAUCAUACUUAGUAUUUUUACAGUGUUUAUUGUGCACCGCGAUGCAAUAACAUACUAAGAGUUUUUAGCAGUUAGUGUUGCAAUUGUUAUAAAGUAAUAUUGUAAAGUAAUAUCGAUCACCAUCGCUUCCCGCCAAGCCAAACUAUGAUGCCCAGUAUUUUGGUCAUAAACAUAUUUAAAAGUAUUCAUGGAAAAGACAUGUUAACUGUUGAUAACUAUGAGUAUAUGCUUGAUAAGAAACGACUACGAAAACAUGAUGAAAAUAUGGUAUAUUAGUUGAAAUGUACAAAACGGUGUGAGGCAACUUUACGAUCAAUAUUUGACGCCGAAUUCCAUGCUAUAAUAACUAAAACCUUCUUAAUGGAUAUCUAUGAUUCACUAUACUUAUUAUUACACUGACACAAAUUAAAUGAACUAAAAUAUUGGUUUUUGUAAAUGGAACAAAAGAGAAAAUCAGUUCUGUUCACCGGAAUAAGUCAAACAAAAACGGAUUAAUAUUAUUAUUCGUUAAAUUUAAGUGAAAGUAAGUAAAUCUAUCGAUUUAUACCAAAUAUAGAAAAAAAAUAGAAUGUUAAUUACUUUAAAUAAAGAUUAAAAUGUACA